UCGGCCUGUCCCUGUCCUUUGAUGGAGCCGCCAACUUCGCGGUGUAUAGCAAGGGCGCCAGUGGUGUUGUGCUCUGCCUGUACGACGGCGAUGGCAGCGGGAACGAGCCUGCGCUGGAGAUCGAGCUCGACCCGUACGUCCACCGGACGGGCGAUGUCGCGUUGACAUCGCGCAAUACACGCUGCCCCGCGCCAAGGCCAGGAUCCAGUUCGAUCGUAUUGCGCAAUUCUUUCUUUCUUCUCGCAGAUUCGGUUCGAUCGUGGGGCGGCGAUCCGGUGGGAGGCAAUAGGCGACCAACGGCCAUGUCGGGCAUGUUCGGCAGGGUGUUCGGGAAGUCCAGGGAACAGAGCCAGGCCACCGCUUUGGCCUCGCUCAACAAGCUCAACGAGGAGAGGGAAGAAAGGGAGGCACGCGCAGCAGAAGAUGGAUGGACAGUUGUGGUGCAUCACAAGGGUAGGAAAAAAACCCACAGAUACUGAAACUGGAACAACUAUUGGCUCUGUAUCUCUUGCUGCAAUGCAAGGGAAAAUGGCUAACAAGAAACCCAAGGAAGUUGCUCAAAACUUGUACAGAUUUUAGAAACGAGAAGCCCACCUCAGUGAACUCGCGAUGUUGCGGAAAUCUCAGCUGGCGUUUGAUUGAGCAACAAAGCACACCUGCAGAGUUAAAAGGUUGGUCAAUUUAGUGUUUCUUUCCGGUCAUCUAUACUUUAUUAUGUGAACUGUUUAGUGAUUUGGUUUUGAUUGGACACUACCGAGCAAUAAUUUUAUUUCUUCCUUUGAAGCAUCAUGUUCAAUAUGCAAGAUUUUAUUGUUCUUUGUUAAGGUUGCUUGAACAUUAUGUUUUCGUUAUAUGCACACAAAGACGUGUUCAAUAUGGAACAUUCUCUCAUUGUAGGAUGAUUUCUCACAUAAUCUCCACACAAUUGGAUUGGUAAAUGCUUCAACUUAUUAUCCCGUGAAUUUUUUUGGCUCCCGUUGCAAUGCGCGGGCAUUUAACUAGUCUCUUACAAUCUAAACGUGGGUGCGUUCUCGUAUUGGUAAAAAAAAAACUGCUCUAGUCUGGAUGCUUCUACGUUGUCUUCAGCGGUGUUCGAUCCCACGGUCCGCCUUCCCCAACAUCAUGCUCCUUCUAGUCUCCCCGAGCCGCGCUCCGUUGUCCAGGCCCUCACCCACACCGUCGCCGCCAGAGCCAACGACACACACGUGCGCACGGCAUGAAGGCCGGCGCCACAGAACAUGAGAUGUCAAUGGAUCUGACCUAGAUCCGCUGAGAUCCACACUAUAGAUCGAUGGAUCUAGCAAGAUCCGCCGGCCUUCUUCACAUGCGGAGGGCUGGCGAGGCUUCCGUCACCUUCACCUCUGGCUACCAGAAGGUCGGGGACACAUAGCGAGCUCAGCGGCGAACCUCCCAGACCCGAUCUAGGGGGCCCGCCACUAGACGGGGAGACUCCCUUGUUCAUGAGCACUUCCACGCGGGGGCCGCCGCAAGGCCCCAUGCGCCUCCAUCGCACACCGCCACUCCGUGCCGCACAAGUUGCUACCAACGCCCGCAUCUCCUUCCUCGUCGGCGACGGCCCCACCCCGUGCACACACCUCCUCAUCGCCUUCGCGGUGCUCGACUCCGUGCAGAGUUUGCACUGCCUCCUCUGCUACUGCGGCGGUAGCCGACAUGAGCCCCCAGCGCAGUGCUCGGGUGGGUGUAAGGGCUCAAGCGGGCAUACGAGGAGGCCGCCACCGAGCUCCUCCAUUGCAGCCCCGAUGCCUUCUUCCUCCUCUGUGUCGACAUCGAGGUAGCCAGUGAUAGAAUGACCCCCAAAUCGGCCGGAUCUAGGUGUGCGUUGACCCAAACCAUGGCUUCCCUCACACGCGAUGGCUGGCCCCACGUCGCAUGUGGCCGACACCCCCAAGCUCCCUCCUCCCCGGCGAGGCACGCCGAUGAGUGGUGACCGCCUUCAGACCAUGCCAUUGCGGCCAUCUUCUCCAAGCACCACGAGAAAGAGAGAAAAAGAGGAGAGACAAUGAAUGAGGGGCGGCUAGGGUAAUGGUUCGGGAAACCUUAGCCACCGCCAUUUUAUCUCGCCCGGACAGGCCAUGGGCCAGGGGCCGGAUACAGGGCAAGGCUAGCCCAAAGAGCCGGCCCAAAGGCUAGCCCAGGAUGUUGGAGUGCUGGUUCCUGAGCAGCUCUGAUCAUACUAAUGACUACUUGUCAAGUGACCUGUCACUGUUAUCAUUAAUGACGGGUGAUUUUCUCACCUGUCACUAAUGAUCUGUCAUUAGUGAUGGGUCUGACCCGGAGUUGUUAUUAGUGGUGCGUCCUCAUAAGACCCAUCACUAAUAGGACAUUAGUGACGCGUAAUGAGCAGCCGUCACUAAUGCCGUGUCACAUUUUUGUUGAUUUCUUACGGAAUGCGCGGUCCAUCUAUAAAUAGGUGACCAAUUGCAAAGCUCCCAUAUACAACUUACCUAGCUCACUGGUUGGCAUUGAUCGACGGUCCUUCUGAUGUAUACGUACGUACCUCGAUCAUCAAGAGCAAAGGCCAUAUAUAGCCAUACUACGUAUUCCUUACCUGCUCUGCUAUAGAUCUCCUGUGUCCUGAAUCGAUCUAUUGGUGAGUGCC